UACGUAGGAGGCAAGCGUUGUCCGGAAUUACUGGGCGUAAAGCGCGUGUAGGUGGUGGGACAAGUCUGCUGUGAAAGCGCCUGGCUUAACCGGGCGAGGUCGGCGGAAACUGUCCGACUAGAGGACGGUAGAGGGGGGUGGAAUUCCCGGUGUAGUGGUGAAAUGCGUAGAGAUCGGGAGGAACACCUGUGGCGAAGGCAGCCCCCUGGGCCAAUACUGACGCUCAUGCACGAAAGCGUGGGGAGCAAACAGG
rnacentral:rRNA from 1 species